UUGAAGACGACGACGUUGAUAGGCCGGAUGUGUAAGCGCAGCGAUGCGUUGAGCUGACCGGUACUAAUGACCCGUGAGGCUUAACCUUACAACGCCAGAGGCGUUCUG
rnacentral:rRNA from 1 species